rnacentral:rRNA from 1 species
AUGCCACAUUCACCCUCAAGGAGGAGAUCUCCUUCAAGGGAAUCUGCUCACAGGAGGGUCAACGAUUUCGGGAAUGCACUGCCUGCUAAACCAAAGGAUGAUGAGCUCACAUUAUUCGCUGAUAUGCAGAAAACUGAGAUUGAGAACUUCUUACUGGAACCAUCCGAGGAUUUUGAUGAAUCCAUCUCAAAAUUGAGCUUUUUCCCAGAUGUUAAGCUUGGUAUCAAUGUCCCAGCACGAGGGGAAAGCCAUGAUUUGCUUAAGGUGGAUGGUGAUAAAAACGAUUAUGAGUGGCUGUUGACUCCUCCAGAGACUCCACUUUUCCGUUCGUUAGAUGACGAAGAAGAACGAUCUGUUGGCCAGGCUUCCAGGGGUAGAGCUCAGAGUAAGGCCAUGCAAAUCUCGAGGCCAUCCACGAUGGAUAAUGCUCAAAGGUCUAGCAGAAGCAGUGCAAGCCCAAAUAGGCUUAGCCUGUCACCACGCUCUAUGGCAAGGACAAAAUCGCCUAUUUCAGCUUCUCGUGCUAGCCCACCACUUUCUGUUCAACCACCAACGCCAUCCCGAAGACCUUCAACUCCUCCAGCUGCUAAGAUAUUGACACUUCCACAAAGGUCUGCAAGUCCAGUCUCUAGAAGGAUGAGUACUGGUUCAAGUGGCUCAGCAUUAAAUGGAACAAGGGGAGCCUCUCCAGUUAAAGCUAAUCACAGAUCUUCUUCCCCAAAACCUCAAGGAUGGCAGUCCAAUGAUCCUGCUUUCUCUUAUAAUGCACCUCCAAACCUUCGUACAUCUCUACCAGAUCGUUCGGUAUCCCGUUCAAGGGGUGGAUCCCCUACAUCUUUCAGUGGACUAGAUACAGGUUCAAGAGGUCGAAGGCAAUCAAUGUCUCCUACUCCAACUAGAAGAGCCAGUUCAUCACAUAGCAUUGAACGAGAUCGAUUGAGCACACACAGCAAAGCUUCUGCAACAUCGUCUGGUGAUGAUGAUCUGGACUCAAUGCAGUCUAUAUCUAUUGGCUAUUCCAGCAGCCCAGCUGUAAAAAAGAGCUUGGCAGUGAUGAAGACGAGAAGUAUUGCAUCAUCAAAGAAGCUGUCCAAGAAUUUUUCCCCUAUCUCAGCCCCAAAAUGGUCAUUUGAUUCUGCUGUUUGGUUGAUGGAUCAUCGGAAAGGUCCUCAAGAUAGGUUCCGGCCACUUCUAUCAAGUGUCCCUGCCACCACAUUUGGUGCUGGCAAAAUAAAUAAUGUGCACAAGCCUAUGUUCUCACACAAUUCCUCUAUGACAACUAGCAGUAAUGCAAGCUCUGAGCAUGGUGCCACUUUUGGCCCUUAUGUGGAAAGCGACCAAGAGCAACAGGAUCUUAUUGGUGAAUGGGAAGCAGAUGACGGCCUUCGAGUUCAUGAGGACAUAUUUAUGUUUGAUAAGCUGGAUGAGUUGAAUGAAGAAACCAGUUUCAAUAAGAACACAAAAUAUGUAGAAGAUUCGCCCAUCCAAGUAAAAUACGUGAAGAGUGAUAAACAUGACUUUGAUAUGGAAAGAUGGGCAGCUAAUCAAACGGCAUAUGAUGGUGCAAAUAGUUCUCAGGUUGGACAUGGUGAAAUGGCUACUUGCAGUAGAUGUGGGAUGUCUUUCAAUGUGAUGGAUUUGGAUGGAAAAGGUGACUCUUGCGAAGAAUGCUCUUCAAAGGUUGGAGGAUUUUCUGCAGACCGUAUGUUAUGGACUUCAGAAGCACAUCAACAUGAUAAUAAAAUUGUAAAUUCUGGGCCUUACGCUGAAUCUGAACCUUCUAUGGCCCCAGAUAGUGUAGACUACAGCAAACAUGCAUCUCUUGGAAAUCAAACGGUGAACAAUGAACCUUCAGCGGAUUGUACAGAAAAAUGUCCUCCAGGCCAGUUGAUGGUGGAUACAGACGAGGACAUGCUGCUGGGGCAGGAAGUAGUGAAUCAUGAGAAUAUGAGGCCCUAUCAUGUAUCUGACUCCUUGCUGGAAAAUGAAGAUGAUAUUUCAUUUAGUCGAUCUAGCGUGAGUAAUCAUCAACAAACAGAACCAACAUCAGCGGAGCAUGGCCCUUAUGGAGGCCAAAUGGAUAGUUGCAAUCAUGGAUUACCCCCAUGCCUUAGCGAGUCAAACUGCCAACAUAAUGAAGCUGUAUCUGAAACUGCAUUUGGUGAUAAUUCUCAUCAACUGGGAUCAAAUAUACAUCCGUUUCCAAAGGUUGAAAGUGCUGGGAUAUCGGUACUCUUACACCAGAAAUCAAGCAGCAACAAAUGGCCGGUCAUGGAAGGGAGGGCUCUAGCUGCUACUAAUAUUGUUUGUUCUGAACCAUAUUAUACAAGAGAUGGUAUAAAUAUGAUGAAACGUAGCUUUGGACGUGACAGCUCUUCAGCUUCUUCCAUUGAUUUAGGAUCUUCAAGGCAAUCAGAUGCACGCUUUGAGCGCCAUAGUAGCAGUAAGAAGGGUGACAUUGAGAAAGCUCAACUAAGUAGUACUAUGAGUCAUCAAAGCAUAGCUUCGGUGUCAGAUAUGUCAGUUAGUGGUUCUUCAGCUUCACUUUGCCAUCAGAGUGAUGCGAUUGAAGACACUUGUUCCCGAAUUGACACUUUGGAAAGCAGUGCUUCAAGAACUGUGGUUUCUACCGGAGAAGAUAGCUCUAGUAAGGAUGCUUUGUCAAAUGCUCUUGAGUGUUUGUCUACUGCACGGCCUAUUGUCAAUGAUGACAUCCCUGUUGACUUGAACUCCUCGAGCUUUGAUAGGUCGAGUGAGACAGAAGAUGUAAUUAGUAUGGGUAGGAUGGCUGACAACGAUCACUCCAGCACUAAUAUGUGUUUGUCAGAGAUGGAAGAGCCAAUUAAUGUUCAAGAAUCUUCAGCUGCCGAGGGAAGUUGCAUGCUAAAAACAGAUGAAGAUACUUCUGAUACCGUUCAGUGCUGUUUAGCUGGCACUCCAGAAUAUCCAAGUGAGGAGAACUUAGAUAACCUUAUAAUGCAGUCUCAAUCUGAAGUAGUUCAGGAUUCAAUUGAGGAACACAUAUUGGAUGAUUGUUGUGUUUCUGCCAUCUCAGAGGAAGAUGUGUUGGUUUCUAGGACAGGAACUAGCAUAAUAGAACUUCCCAACGAUGAAAAAUCACCUCAGGCAGUAGAAGGGUCGAGGAAACAGAUUCAGAGGUGCUUCACUUUAGAAGAAGCUACUGAUACAAUUCUCCUGUGUAGUUCUAUCGUUCAUGAUCUGGCAUACAAGGCAGCAACAAUUGCACUGGAGCACGAGCAAGAAUCAGAAUGCCCUCGACCAACUGUUACCAUCAUAGGGAAAUCCAUUCGAGACGAGGAUGGUUUCCUUAAGCUGCCCCACAGAAGAACCCCAAAUCGUAAGGUUAAAAGGAAAAGAUUGGAAGGUGAAACAACAACCAUCACAGAAACCGCUGAAAAAGAAUCCGUCGUCGAAGAUCCUUCACCUGUACGUUCUGCUUCAGGAAUCACAAGGGCAUCUGAUAAUAUGAAGCCUCCAAAGUUGGAAUCCAAGUGCAACUGUGUAAUUAUGUAA